UAAUUAUCAAGAUUAUGUUGAUAAAAGCGAUUUCAUUCACCAAAUCUCGUUGUUCGAAAAAAAUGUGAUGUUUUUAUUUACUUUAUCAUGUAUAAAGAAAUGGACUUUUUUUAAAUACGCGAAACAAUGAAAACUAAAAACAGUGUGAGCUUUAUAAACAUUUUUUCUUAAUCAUUUUUUUUUUAUUUUGAUACAUCUCAUCUGAGUGUGAUGCAGCUACUUUUGUACCAGAUUGACAUCAGAAUUAGAGUCUAAAGACCAUAGACUACACAUGGAUAAAUUAUGCAAUACUAA
rnacentral:lncRNA from 1 species